AACGGAGGGGGCUAGCGGUGUUCGGAAUUACUGGGCGUAAAGCGCACGUAGGCGGACUGGAAAGUCAGGGGUGAACUCCCGGGGCUCAACCCCGGAACUGCCUUUGAAACUCCCGGUCUUGAGGUCGAGAGAGGUGAGUGGAAUUCCGAGUGUAGCGGUGAAAUUCGUAGAUAUUCGGAGGAACACCAGUGGCGAAGGCGGCUCACUGGCUCGAUACUGACGCUGAGGUGCGAAAGCGUGGGGAGCAAACAGG
rnacentral:rRNA from 1 species